GCGCGUACGCGUACCACGCGGUAAUUGCAACCAUGGCGUGGCGGCGGCGGCGGCGGCGUACCUUCGACGUACACAGUGACGCGUGCGUUUUUAUUAUUUCUAUUGCCGUUGUACGGGUAUCGGCGGCUGUUACCAUGAUUUGUAUACCGCACGUGGCGGCUGCGCACAGUCCAAUGGACACGUUCGUUUUGCAGUAGACUACAACUGUAUAAUAUUUAGGUACCGGCAGCGGUAACCAAGGUUUGUAUACCGCACGUGGCGGCUGCGCACGGUCCACAGUGUUUUCACGCUGUAGAGUGUAGACGCGCGUGCGAUUUACGAUAAUUUCAAAACAUACCUUUCUCGUUUCCAACCCUCACACUUCUGAGAAGUUCCACGCCACAGCAAAUAUAAUAUAUUUUAUCAUUACCCGUCAUCAUCAUUCGCUCAUAUCCUGAUUUCGUUUUUAAAAAUAAUUAUUUACUUCCUAUAACAUAAUAUAUACUAUAUAUAUAGUGUAUACUCAUAAAUAUGAUGGCCGCGGGUGAGGAUGUUUUCUGCGAUCAGGGUUCGUUACACCGACACCACAUGUAUAGUAUAAUUUUAUUAUUAUAUCGAGGGGGUUAAUAUUUAAAUUGGAUUUUUUUCAUUUUCACUGCGACUGCAACUGCGUUUCUUAAAUUCGUUAGAAUUCGUCAUCACGAAUUUACAUUGCAUUAUACUAAAUUAUUGUGUAUACCUAGUUAUAGCAUACUAAAGAUAGAUUGAAAAUAAAUACUUUUAGUUUCAUGGUGGAUAUUCUGCAUAACAACUAAACCGAUGAACAAUUUCCAGCGUGUGUUUGAAGUCAUGAACCCCCUGUCUUCUCUACCCGAUAUCGCCGAUCGGUUGUAUAGCAUUCAUCUCGCGGCCGAAUGUUUUAUAAAUUAAUAACAUACUCUGUUGCGCAAUAUUUUAUUUCCGUACCAUUUGCCACGGUUGUACACUAUACAUUAUGCUAUCGCAGCAUGUAUUUGAACUUUUCAUGGUCUUUUAGCCUGUUGAAAAAAAUAGGCCAAACAAUAUUGUAUACAUUACUGGUUUUCGAGUUUAAAAAAAUGAAUAAACUACUAUAAGAUAAUUGUUGACUAUCCUUUUUGAAAAUGAUAUUAAACAGUAUAUACUAAUAGUAAUGUCUGUAUUGUCGAUGCUUAAACGAUUUUAUAGAAAUAGCAUAUCAGUAAUUUAUUUUUCAUCAAACGCUCUCAAUUUAAUGAAUGUGUUUGUUUAGACUACGGGAAGAUUAAUUUGACUAAUAUCGUGCAACAUUGUAUAAUGGUUUGCUAAUUGUUAGUCAUCGUUUCAUAUUUUUAAUAGCAUAUUAUAGUAUGCGAAUGUUAAUUCGAGUUUCAAACUACAAAAAAUAAAUUAUCAAUGUAUACAACCGUUUGUCGUGAGUUUUGUGCAGUUAUAUAUGUAUUCACAAAUCUAAGUGCUGUAUAAUUUUAAAUAUUGUUAGUUAGAACUUUAAUAAAGUUCUUAUUUUUUAUAUACUAUAUAUGGCAAACAUAUCAUGUAUACUUCCAAACGUUUUAAUUCAAUAAAAAUAAUGUGGGGUGUACAUACAAAUGAAAACCUAAAAAAUAUACAGGAGUUUGUAACUGCUUUAAUGCUACAAUAAUUUUUAAUUUAUUGAAGAUUUUCGAAUUUGAUUACCUAAUUAAAAAAAUAAUAAUAAAUAAUAAAUAAUGAAUACAACUACAUUACUUGAAUAUUGUGUAUACGAAACUCAUAAAAAAAAAUCUCAUAAAUCUUAAAUUAAUAUAUAAAAUACAAAUUACAUAUUUUUUAAAUUAUAAUAAUUUGGUGGUUUCUUUAUUUAUAAAGAUUCCAUAAAUGGUACAUCAUUAAAAUUUGAAUCUGAUCUUAAUGACCCAAUAAAGAAACUGUGCCACAUCGCCCUAACAGGUUUGGGUAAAGGUACUUCAAAUGAUUUAUAAUAUUAUAUGCUUUAACGCAAAAUAGAGUGAAUAGAGCAAAUCUUACACAGGGCUUUUUAUAAUACCAUAGAGAUUUUUUUAAAUUAGUACUUUUGGUUUUUAUGAAAGUUAUGCAUGUCUCCGGAUCAUGAUAUAAUUUUACUUAAUGACUAGGUAUCAAAAUUUUAUUAUUUUUUUUUACGUUCUGUAUAAUAAAUUUAUACAACAGGUAUACUUUACGUAAAAUAAUAUUAUAAAUGCAGACGAACAUUUUAUUUUUAAAUUGAUUAAUUUUAAAAUUAUUCUUUCUCAGUGUCAUGCUCUUAUACACUAUUCAUAGAACUAUAAAAGUGCGCGAUUAUAAUAGUUAUUAUACAACCA